UACGAAGGGAGCUAGCGUUACUCGGAAUCACUGGGCGUAAAGCGUGCGUAGGCGGUUUUGUAAGUCAGAAGUGAAAGCCUGGGGCUCAACCUCAGAAUUGCUUUUGAAACUGCAUAACUAGAGUGUCAUAGGGGAUAGCGGAAUUCCUAGUGUAGAGGUGAAAUUCGUAGAUAUUAGGAGGAACACCGGUGGCGAAGGCGGCUAUCUGGGUGAACACUGACGCUGUUGCACGAAAGCGUGGGGAGCAAACAGG
rnacentral:rRNA from 1 species